rnacentral:misc_RNA from 1 species
GCUUUUGCUCUACUUAGUUUAGUGCAGGAUUUAAGUUGAAUAGUUAAGGGGAAAGGUAAAGAUUGUGGCUUUAUGCAUUCUCAUGGGUGCUGCACAGUUAAAACACUUGUAGGUUUAUAUACUUUAUCUUUGGUGUCUGAGUUUAGUUUUAACACUUUGUGAGGAAGUUAAAGAUUGUAGCUUUAUUUGCUUUUCUGAGGUGCUGAAUGGUUAGUACUUU